rnacentral:rRNA from 1 species
CUACGGGUCGCUGCAGUGGGGAAUAUUGCACAAUGGGGGAAACCCUGAUGCAGCAACGCCGCGUGGAGGAUGACGCAUUUCGGUGUGUAAACUCCUUUUAUAUAGGAAGAUAAUGACGGUACUAUAUGAAUAAGCACCGGCUAACUCCGUGCCAGCAGCCGCGGUAAUACGGAGGGUGCAAGCGUUACUCGGAAUCACUGGGCGUAAAGCGCGCGCAGGCGGCCUUUUAAGUUGGAUGUGAAAGCCUAUGGCUUAACAAUAGAACUGCAUCCAAAACUAUCAGGCUAGAGUCUGGGAGGGGAAGAUGGAAUUAGUUGUGUAGGGGUAAAAUCCGUAGAGAUAACUAGGAAUACCAAAAGCGAAGGCGAUCUUCUGGAACAGUACUGACGCUGAGGCGCGAAAGCGUGGGGAGCAAACAGGAUUAGAUACCCUCGUAGUC